rnacentral:rRNA from 1 species
GUCCUUUUGAGAUAAAUUUAAGGUCUGACCUGCCCACUGAAUUUUAAAUGGCCGCAGUACUCUAACUGUGCAAAGGUAGCAUAAUAAUUAGUCUUUUAAUUGAAGGCUGGAAUGAAUGGUUGGACGAGAUAUUUUCUGUUUCAUAUAAAUUUAUUGUAGAAUUUUAUUUUUCAGUAAAAAAGCUGAAAUAAUCUUAAAAGACGAGAAGACCCUAUAAAUCUUUACAUUCUAAAAAACCUGCAAAAGAAGGAUUAUUUUUGUAGCUUUUUAAUGAGUGUUUUAUUGGGGUGAUAUUAAAAUUUAAAGAACUUUUAAUUUUUGAAACAUUAAUUUAUGAAUAAUUGAUCCGUUUUCACGAUUAGUAAAUUAAGUUACUUUAGGGAUAACAGCGUAAUUUUUUUGGAGAGUUCAUAUCGAUAAAAAAGAUUGCGACCUCGAUGUUGGAUUAAGGAAUAAUUUUAGCGCAGCCGUUUAAAUGAUAAGUCUGUUCGACUUUUAAUCCCUU